rnacentral:rRNA from 1 species
YCCCUAGUAACUGCGAGUGAAGCGGGAAAAGCUCAAAUUUAAAAUCUGGCAGUCCUUUGGCUGUCCGAGUUGUAAUCUAGAGAAGUGUUAUCCGCGCUGGACCGUGUACAAGUCUCCUGGAAUGGAGCGUCAUAGAGGGUGAGAAUCCCGUCUUUGACACGGACUACCAGGGCUUUUGUGAUAUGCUCUCAAAGAGUCGAGUUGUUUGGGAAUGCAGCUCAAAAUGGGUGGUAAAUUCCAUCUAAAGCUAAAUAUUGGCGAGAGACCGAUAGCGAACAAGUACCGUGAGGGAAAGAUGAAAAGGACUUUGGAAAGAGAGUUAAACAGUACGUGAAAUUGCUGAAAGGGAAACGCUUGAAGUCAGUCGCAUUGUCCAGGGAUCAACCUUGCUUUUGCUUGGUGUACUUUCUGGUUGAUGGGUCAGCAUCAAUUUUGACUAUUGGAAAAAGAUUAAGGGAAUGUGGCAUCUUCGGAUGUGUUAUAGCCUUUGGUUGAAUACAAUGGUUGGGAUUGAGGAACUCAGCACGCCGCAAGGCCGGGUUUUUAACCACGUACGUGCUUAGGAUGCUGGCAUAAUGGCUUUAAUCGACCCGUCUUGAAACACGGACCAAGGAGUCUAACAUGCCUGCGAGUAUUUGGGUGGAAAACCCGAGUGCGUAAUGAAAGUGAAAGUUGAGAUCCCUGUCAUGGGGAGCAUCGACGCCCGGACCAGACCUUUUGUGACGGUUCCGCGGUAGAGCAUGUAUGUUGGGACCCGAAAGAUGGUGAACUAUGCCUGAAUAGGGUGAAGCCAGAGGAAACUCUGGUGGAGGCUCGUAGCGAUUCUGACGUGCA